rnacentral:rRNA from 1 species
AGUGAACGCUGGCGGCAGGCCUAAUACAUGCAAGUCGAACGGCAGCACAGCAGAGCUUGCUCUGUGGGUGGCGAGUGGCGGACGGGUGAGGAAUACAUGGGAAUCUGCCCAGUCGUGGGGGAUAACGUAUGGAAACGUACGCUAAUACCGCAUGCGCCCUACGGGGGAAAGCCGGGGACCGCAAGGCCUGGCGCGAUUGGAUGAGCCCAUGUUCGAUUAGCUAGUUGGCGGGGUAAAGGCCCACCAAGGUCGACGAUCGAUAGCUGGUCUGAGAGGAUGAUCAGCCACACUGGAACUGAGACACGGUCCAGACUCCUACGGGAGGCAGCAGUAGGGAAUAUUGGACAAUGGGGGCAACCCUGAUCCAGCCAUGCCGCGUGAGUGAAGAAGGCCCUCGGGUUGUAAAGCUCUUUGUCCGGAAAGAAAGCAUCUGGUUAAUACCCGGGUGUUCUGACGGUACCGGAAGAAUAAGCACCGGCUAACUUCGUGCC